CGGUCGCUGGGAGGGGCCCGGGGAGCGCCCAGGCAGAGGUUUUUCGCCGCCGGCCUUCCCCGCUUUGGGGCCUCACUGACACUGCUCGCCCGCCCAGGCUAGUUCCGGAAAGCCGUCUGCUGCUCUGCUAAAGUUCCCGUUGCCAGAGUUACUGCCUGGAGGGUGGUAGUACGCGGAACUCCAAAUUGUGUGACAGUGUCUUUGCAACCUCAGAUGGCUUCAGAUUCUCAGACUGAGGAAACUGCCCUCGGAGUUCCACAUAUUUGCUGUGGUACAUGCAUCCAAGUGUACAUGCAUGAGCACACACACACCGAAUAAAGGUCUCCAUAAAAACUUGAAGACUGGAAGAAAGAGAAGAAAGAGGAGGGAGAGGCUGAACGUCCAUUUCUUCUGCACCACUCCUUAUCUGGGACUUCUCUGAGGCACGUGCCCAUCUCACCUCCCGCAUCUGCAGCUUUUAAUGCUGAAUUACAAGUUAAGAUUGAUACAGAAAUCAAAACAGACGGGCUACAAAGCCCACAGUGCAGUGUGCUUGUCACUGCAUGAAGAACUGCAGCUUGGAGUUAGCUGCCACAGCCUAGAAGCAGCAGUGUUGGGUGUGUCCCAAGAACACCAAAGCUUUCAGAAAUGAAAAAGCUUGUCUUCUGUAUUUUACUUAUUUUUGUUUUUUUGUUCUUCUGGUAUCUUCUUUUGGAAACAAUACCGUGAUUUAAAAGUCAUAACAGGGCUCUGGACAGCUUCAGUACCACAGUAUUUGCCUUGCAAACACAAGGGACUGUGCUCAAUUCUCAGCACCAAACAGCUACAACCAGCACAAUCACCCUUUCCAACUCCAGCAACCAAAUGUCGCCUCUUCCAGUCAUGUUUCAAGAUGGCAGAGAUCAAAUUUCUCUAUACCCUCAGUCAAUAUCAGAAGAGUGAUAAUGGAAAGCUUAUGGUAUUUGACUUCUUGUCUAGAAUUUUCUAUGAAUUGCUUCACAUUUUGCUUUUAUGAACAGCUAAUUUUGAGCUGGCUGGCUCAGUGGGUCAACAUUUCUUACCUUCGUGGCAUGAGCUUGAUCCUAGGACCCACAUGGUGGAAGAAAAACCAAUUCUUGCAAGUUUUCCUUUGUCCUACACAUAUACAUGUAUGUAUGUGCAUUCACAUACUAAAUGUAAAAAAUAGGGAGUUUAACAUGCUUAGAAGUGUGAGUAACAUUGCUGCUGAAACACUAGAAUUUCCAUUUUAAAGAGUUUUAAAGGGCAAAAAAAAAAAAUACUAAAAUCACCACUUUGUCUCUCUGUGUUCCUAAAUAAAAUGGUCCCAAAGUGC